rnacentral:rRNA from 1 species
UAUGGGGGGGGCAAGCGUUGUUCGGAAUUACUGGGCGGAAAGGGCUCGUAGGCGGCCAACUAAGUCGGACGUGAAAUCCCCAGGCUCAACCUGGGAACUGCGUCCGAUACUGGAUGGCUUGAAUUCGGGAGAGGGAUGCAGAAUUCCAGGUGUAGCGGUGAAAUGCGUAGAUAUCUGGAGGAAUACCGGUGGCGAAGGCGGCAUCCUGGACCGACAUUGACGCUGAUGAGCGAAAGCCAGGGGAGCAAACGGG